UAAUGACUGGGGUGAAGUCGUAACAAGGUAGCCGUAUCGGAAGGUGCGGCUGGAUCACCUCCUUUCUAAGGAGA
rnacentral:rRNA from 1 species